rnacentral:rRNA from 1 species
GUCAAGUUAUUAAGGGUGCAGGGCGGAUGCCUUGGCACUAGGAGCCGAUGAAGGACGUGAUAAGCUGCGAUAAGCUUCGGGGAGUUGCACGUAAACUUUGAUCCGAAGAUUUCCGAAUGAGGAAACUCACUUAGAGUAAUGUCUAAGUAUCAUUAAGUGAAUACAUAGCUUAAUGAGGGGAACUCAGGGAACUGAAACAUCUAAGUACCUGAAGGAAGAGAAAGAAAUUCGAUUCCGUAAGUAGCGGCGAGCGAACGCGGAUUAGCCCAAACCAAUAAAGUUUUCUUUAUUGGGGUUGCGGACAUAUCAUAACGAAGAGGUAUCGUAAUUGAAGAGGUUUGGAAAGACCCACCACAGAAGGUAAUAGUCCUGUAUGUUAAACGAGAAGACUUCAGAUAUGAUCCAGAGUACCACGGGACACGUGAAACCCUGUGGGAAGCAGGAGGGACCACCCUCCAAGGCUAAAUACUACCUAGUGACCGAUAGCGUAUAGUACCGUGAGGGAAAGGUGAAAAGAACCCCGGGAGGGGAGUGAAAUAGAACCUGAAACCCUGCACUUACAAGCUGUGGAAGCACAUUUCUUGUGUGACCGCGUACUUUUUGUAGAACGGGCCAACGAGUUACGUUAAGUAGCAAGGUUAAGCACUUAAGGUGCGGAGCCGUAGCGAAAGCGAGUUUUAACUGAGCGUUCAGUUACUUGACGUAGACCCGAAACCGGGCGACCUACCCAUGAGCAGGAUGAAGCGAAAGUAAAAUUUCGUGGAGGUCCGAACCCACGAGCGUUGAAAAGCUCGGGGAUGACUUGUGGGUAGCGGUGAAAUUCCAAUCGAGCCCGGAGAUAGCUGGUUCUCCCCGAAAUAGCUUUAGGGCUAGCCUCAAGGUGAGAGAUACGGAGGUAGAGCACUGAAUGUCCUAGGGGGUAUUGCACCUACCGAAGACUAUCAAACUCCGAAUGCCGUCAUCUUAUACUUGGGAGUCAGACUGUGGGUGAUAAGAUUCAUAGUCGAAAGGGCAACAGCCCAGAUCGUCAGCUAAGGUCCCUAAAUGUAAGUUAAGUGGUAAAGGAUGUGGGAUUGCACAGACAACCAGGAUGUUGGCUUAGAAGCAGCCACUCAUUCAAAGAGUGCGUAAUAGCUCACUGGUCGAGUGAUCCUGCGCCGAAGAUUUCCGGGGCUAAAACUUACUACCGAAGCUACGGCAUCAGUAAUGAUGGGUAGGGGAGCUUCCCAUACGGGUUGAAGCAUGACCGUAAGGACAUGUGGACAGUAUGGGAGUGAGAAUGUUGGCAUGAGUAGCGAGAUGUGGGUGAGAAUCCCACAGGCCGUAAACCCAAGGUUUCCAGGGGAAGGUUCGUCCGCCCUGGGUUAGUCGGAACCUAAGCUGAGGCCGAAAGGCGUAGGUGAUGGACAACAGGUUGAUAUUCCUGUACUACCGAUAACCAUUUGAGAGAAGGGAUGACACAGUAGGAUAAGCUAAGCACACUGUUGGUUAUGUGUGCCCAAGCAUUGAGGCAGUCAAAGUAGGCAAAUCCGCUUUGAUAAUGCUGGGAUGUGAUGGGGAGCGAAAUUUAGUAGCGAAGUAGCUGAUUUCACACUGUCAAGAAAAGUCUCUAUCGAGGUUAAAGGUACCCGUACCGCAAACCGACACAGGUGGGUGAGGAGAGUAUCCUAAGGCCAGCGAGAGAACUGUUGUUAAGGAACUCGGCAAAAUGACCCCGUAACUUAGGGAUAAGGGGUGCCACCAUCAGGUGGCCGCAGAGAAUAGGCCCAAGCGACUGUUUACCAAAAACAUAGGUUUCUGCUAAGUCGCAAGACGAUGUAUAGGAGCUGACGCCUGCCCGGUGCUGGAAGGUUAAGGGGAUCUGUUAGAGCAAUCGAAGCAGUGAACUUAAGCCCCAGUAAACGGCGGCCGUAACUAUAACGGUCCUAAGGUAGCGAAAUUCCUUGUCGGGUAAGUUCCGACCCGCACGAAAGGCGUAACGAUUUGGGCACUGUCUCAACAACAGACUCGGUGAAAUUGUAAUUCCGGUGAAGAUGCCGGAUACCUGCGACAGGACGGAAAGACCCCAUGGAGCUUUACUGUAGCUUGACAUUGGGUCUUGGUACUACAUGUACAGGAUAGGUGGGAGGCUUUGAAACCAGGACGCCAGUUUUGGCGGAGCCAUCCUUGGGAUACCACCCUUGUAGUACUGGGACUCUAACCAUAGGCCAUGAAUCUGGUCUUGGGACACUGUCAGGUGGGCAGUUUGACUGGGGCGGUCGCCUCCCAAAAGGUAACGGAGGCGCUCAAAGGUUCUCUCAGUACGGUCGGAAAUCGUACGUAGAGUGUAAAGGCAAAAGAGAGCUUGAUUGCAAGACAUACAGGUCGAGCAAGGAUGAAAAUCGGACUUAGUGAUCCGGUGGUUCUGCGUGGAAGGGCCAUCGCUCAACGGAUAAAAGCUACCCUGGGGAUAACAGGCUUAUCUCCCCCAAGAGUCCACAUCGACGGGGAGGUUUGGCACCUCGAUGUCGGCUCAUCACAUCCUGGGGCUGUAGUAGGUCCCAAGGGUUGGGCUGUUCGCCCAUUAAAGUGGUACGCGAGCUGGGUUCAGAACGUCGUGAGACAGUUCGGUCCCUAUCCGUCGCAGGCGUAGGAAAUUUGAGAAGACCUGUCCUUAGUACGAGAGGACCGGGAUGGACGUACCUCUGGUGUACCAGUUGUUCUGCCAAGGGCAUGGCUGGGUAGCUAUGUACGGAAUGGAUAAGCGCUGAAAGCAUCUAAGCGCGAAGCCAACUUCAAGAUAAGAUUUCCCACCGCAAGGGUAAGACUCCAGAAAGACUAUCUGGUUGAUAGGUCGAAGGUGUAAGUGCAGCAAUGUAUUUAGCUUAUCGAUACUAAUAGGUCGAGGACUUGAC